UCGAUGACCUUGACAGUUUUGAAGAGCACUGUCCCUCCAUAGGGAUUUGUCUGAUGUUUUUCUUACAAUUAGAGUGGAAUUAUGUGUUUUGGGGAGGAAGGCCACAGAGGCAAAGUGCUAUUCUCGUCACAUCAUAUCAAAGGUACAUGCUAGCAACAUGACUUAUUACUGUUGAUAUUAACCUUGAUCACCUGGAUGAAGGAGUAUUUAUCAGGUUUCUCCACUAUAGAGGUACCCUUUUUUCCCUCCAUCUUUUCAUACUGCACACAUUGGAAAGGAGUUGCUGUGAACAACCCAUUCCUAAAAAGUGGGGAGUUAACUGCUCUGUCGUUAACAAGUGCGUUUUGAAGGCUCAGUCUGCACUGGGAGCUUCCUGGAAUUCAUUUGUUGGCAACAUUGUUAGUGGCAUCUUCGGGUUACAUCACAUACCUGGUGAGAUUAGAAUAAUGCCCUGUUUCUUGAUUCCCAUGCCCCCUUUCUCCCCAGUAGUCCAUACUAUUGAAAUAGGAGAUGCAAAUAUCAAGUGUGCAUGGCUGGGGACCCUGGAUGUA
rnacentral:lncRNA from 1 species